CAUAGCUGGUCUCAAAGAUUAGCCAUGCAUGUCUAAGUAUAAGCAAUUAUACCGUGUAAACUGCGAAUGGCUCAUUAAAUCAGUUAUCGUUUAUUUGAUAAUACCUUACUACUUGGAUAACCGUGGUAAUUCUAGAGCUAAUACAUGCUGAAAAUCCCGACUUCGGAAGGGAUGUGUUUAUUAGAUAAAAAACCAAUGCCCUUCGGGGCUUUUUGGUGAUUCAUGAUAACUUUACGGAUCGCAUAGCCUUGCGCUGGCGACGGUUCAUUCAAAUUUCUGCCCUAUCAACUUUCGAUGGUAAGGUAUUGGCUUACCAUGGUUUCAACGGGUAACGGGGAAUUAGGGUUCGAUUCCGGAGAGGGAGCCUGAGAAACGGCUACCACAUCCAAGGAAGGCAGCAGGCGCGCAAAUUACCCAAUCCCGACACGGGGAGGUAGUGACAAUAAAUACUGAUACAGGGCUCUUUUGGGUCUUGUAAUUGGAAUGAGUACAAUUUAAACCUCUUAACGAGGAACAAUUGGAGGGCAAGUCUGGUGCCAGCAGCCGCGGUAAUUCCAGCUCCAAUAGCGUAUAUUAAAGUUGUUGCAGUUAAAAAGCUCGUAGUUGAAACUUGGGUCUGGCUGGCGGGUCCGCCUCACCGCGUGCACUCGUCCGGCCGGGCCUUCCUUCUGAAGAACCUCAUGCCCUUCACUGGGCGUGUUGGGGAAUCAGGACUUUUACUUUGAAAAAAUUAGAGUGUUCAAAGCAGGCCUUUGCUCGAAUACGUUAGCAUGGGAAUAAAUAAAAAUAAGGGCGGGGCGGUUUCCUAUUUUGGUUGGGUUUCUAAAAAAACCCCCCCAAUGGAUUUAAACAGGGGAACCGGUCCGGGGGGGCCAUUCCA
rnacentral:rRNA from 1 species